UCACGGGGCUAAGCGAUGCACCGAAGCGGCGGACUGAGAAUUCAGUGGUAGGGGAGCUCUCCGCGGGGGGCGAAGCAGCAGGGCGACCUGCUGUGGACCGCGCGGAGGUGAGAAUGCUGGCAUGAGUAACGAGACCAGGGCGAGAAACCCUGGCGCCGUGAGCCUAAGGGUUCCUGGGCGAGGCUAAUCCCCCCAGGGUCAGUCGGGAGCUAAGGCGAGGCCGAGAGGCGUAGCCGAUGCGCAGCGGGCAGACAUUCCCGCACCGCCGACGGCGCGGCAUUACCGAUGGGGCGACGGAGAAGGGUAGCCGGGCGGGGUUCUGGACGUCCCCGUGAAAGCGCGUAGGGCGCGCAGCGUGGAAACCAGCUGCGCACGAGGCCUGAGACGCGAGACGAAGCGAACGAGCGAAGCCGGUGAGCCCAUGCUUCCGAGAAAAACCUCUAGGGAGUGCCGUCGGCGCCCGUACCAAAACCGACACAGGUGGGCGGGUAGAACAUACCGAGGCGAUCGGGAGAACCACGGUUAAGGAACUCGGCAUACUGGCCCCGUAACUUCGGGAGAAGGGGCGCCGCCGCCGGUGAUAGCCCUCGCGGCAGGAGCUGGCGGCGGCCGCAGCGAAACGGCCCAAGCGACUGUUUAUCAAAAACACAGGACUCUGCAAAGCGGUAACGCGACGUAUAGGGUCUGACGCCUGCCCGGUGCCGGAAGGUUACGCGGAUGCGUCAGCCGAAAGGCGAAGCGCUGAAGCCAAGCCCCGGUAAACGGCGGCCGUAACUAUAACGGUCCUAAGGUAGCGAAAUUCCUUGUCGGGUAAGUUCCGACCUGCACGAAUGGCGUAACGAUUUGGGCGCUGUCUCAACCGUGGACCCGGUGAAAUUGUACUGUUCGUGAAGAUGCGAACUACCCGCGGAAGGACGGAAAGACCCCGUGAACCUUUACUGCAGCUUGGCAUUGGCAUCUGGUACGGCGCGUAGAGGAUAGGCGGGAGCCUUUGAAGCGGGGGCGCAAGCCCCCGUGGAGGCGACCUUGGAAUACCGCCCUCGUCGUGCCGGCUGCCUAACGCGCGGCCGUGAUCCGGCGCGCGGACCGUGCCAGGCGGGUAGUUUGACUGGGGCGGUCGCCUCCCAAAACGUAACGGAGGCGCGCGAAAGGUCCGCUCAGGACGGUCGGCAACCGUCCCGAGAGCGCAAGAGUGCAAGCGGGCUUGACUGCGAGAGAGACACCUCGAGCAGGGACGAAAGUCGGUUCUAGUGAUCCGGCGGCACAGAGUGGAAUGGCCGUCGCUCAACGGAUAAAAGGUACUCCGG
rnacentral:rRNA from 1 species